rnacentral:rRNA from 1 species
CAUAUCAAUAAGCGGAGGAAAAGAAACUAACAAGGAUUCCCCUAGUAGCGGCGAGCGAAGCGGGAAGAGCUCAAAUUUGUAAUCUGGCACCUUCGGUGUCCGAGUUGUAAUCUCUAGAAGUGUUUUCCGCGUUGGACCGCACACAAGUCUGUUGGAAUACAGCGGCAUAGUGGUGAUACCCCAUUACACGGUGCGGACGCCCAGCGCUUUGUGAUACACUUUCGACGAGUCGAGUUGUUUGGGAAUGCAGCUCAAAUUGGGUGGUAAAUUCCAUCUAAAGCUAAAUAUUGGCGAGAGACCGAUAGCGAACAAGUACCGUGAGGGAAAGAUGAAAAGCACUUUGGAAAGAGAGUUAAAAGUACGUGAAAUUGUUGGAAGGGAAACGCUUGAAGUCAGACUUGCUUGCCGGGCUUGCUCGGUUUGCAGGCCAGCAUCAGUUUUCCGGGGCGGAUAAUGGCAGUUAGAAUGUAGCAGUCUCGGCUGUGUUAUAGCUUUCUGCUGGAUACGUCCUGGGGGACUGAGGAACGCAGCGUGCCGUAUGGCGAGGGCUUCGGUCCUUUCACGCUUAGGAUGCUGGUGGAAUGGCUUUAAACGACCCGUCUUGAAACACGGACCAAGGAGUCUAACAUGCUUGCGAGUAUUUGGGUGUCAAACCCGGAUGCGUAAUGAAAGUGAAUGGAGGUGGGAAGCGCAAGCUGCACCAUCGACCGAUCUGGAUUUUCUAAGAUGGAUUUGAGUAAGAGCACGUAUGUUGGGACCCGAAAGAUGGUGAACUAUGCCUGAAUAGGGCGAAGCCAGAGGAAACUCUGGUGGAGGCUCGUAGCGGUUCUGACGUGCAAAUCGAUCGUCAAAUUUGGGUAUAGGGGCGAAAGACUAAUCGAACCAUCUAGUAGCUGG